UUUUUUUCAGUUUUUUUCGUUGAUGCGUUCAUUUCUUUCUCUUCUGUUUUUUCGUUUCUUCUCCGGGUUUCUUCGGUCUUUUUGUUUUUCCUCUGUUUUUCAUGGUUUUCUUAGUUUUACUCAUGGGUUUCUUUGGUUUUUCUGGAUUUGUUUGCUUUUUCUUUGUUUUCCUCAUUUAAUUUAUCGCUUUUCAUCGGGUUUUUGUUUUUCCUUUGCUUUUCUUUCUUUCUCGGUUUUCAUUGUUUUUUUUGCUUUUCUUUGUUUCUUUUUGUUUUUUUGUGGGUUUCAUCGUUUUUCCUUUUUUCUUUAUUGGUUUUCUCGGUUCCUUUCUCUUGCAUUUCUUUUUCCUUUUUUACUUCCAUUUGUACUUGCAAAUAAUCUAAAUAAAUAUAUUACGAAAAAACUUUACAUAAAAUAUUUUUAGAAAUUUUAACCAAGCAUUUGAAAAAUGUUAAAUGUGUAUAGAGAAAAUGUUUCUCAUGUAUAUAAAAAGUAUACAAAAAUUGUUCAUGUAUUUGAAAAAUAUUAAUCAAGCAUUUGAAAAAUAUUUAAAAAGUAUUUGAAAAAUGUUAAUCAAGCAUCAAAAUGUUAAAUGUGUAUAGAAAAAAUGUUGACCAUGUAUUCAAAAAAUGUUAAUCUUGUAUUCCAAAAAUGGUAAUGAAGCAUUUGAAUAAUGUUAAAUGNNNNNNNNNNNNNNNNNNNNNNNNNNNNNNNNNNNNNNNNNNNNNNNNNNNNNNNNNNNNNNNNNNNNNNNNNNNNNNNNNNNNNNNNNNNNNNNNNNNNNNNNNNNNNNNNNNNNNNNNNNNNNNNNNNNNNNNNNNNNNNNNNNNNNNNNNNNNNNNNNNNNNNNNNNNNNNNNNNNNNNNNNNNNNNNNNNNNNNNNNNNNNNNNNNNNNNNNNNNNNNNNNNNNNNNNNNNNNNNNNNNNNNNNNNNNNNNNNNNNNNNNNNNNNNNNNNNNNNNNNNNNNNNNNNNNNNNNNNNNNNNNNNNNNNNNNNNNNNNNNNNNNNNNNNNNNNNNNNNNNNNNNNNNNNNNNNNNNNNNNNNNNNNNNNNNNNNNNNNNNNNNNNNNNNNNNNNNNNNNNNNNNNNNNNNNNNNNNNNNNNNNNNNNNNNNNNNNNNNNNNNNNNNNNNNNNNNNNNNNNNNNNNNNNNNNNNNNNNNNNNNNNNNNNNNNNNNNNNNNNNNNNNNNNNNNCCCCCCAGAGCCCAGCACAAAAACUGCAAAUACCCUUUAGUAUUUGGCCCAGUUUUAGUAGAAAGACCAGCCCAUAGCCUAUUAUCCUGCCCCUCUAUCCCAUUGCCCCAUCAAGAAAUGGGCCCAAGCUCGGCCACUGUGACCAUUUAUUCUAUGAAUGCUAAUCUUGUAUUAAAAAAUAUUAAACUGUACCAGAAAAUGUAUUAGAUAUAUAACAAAAUGUGUAUAGAAAAACAGUGAAACCAUGAGAGAAAACAAAAGAAAACCGAUGAAAAAUGAGAAAAGAAACAAACAAAACCGAAGAAAAAUGAAAUAGAACAAAAAAGGCAAUGAAAAAAAGCCAAUGAAAACGAGAAAGGAACAAAGAAAUCCCAAAAAAGAAAGAAAAUGGAAAUCUAAGAAAAAACCAGUAAAAACAUAAAAAGAAACAAAGAAAAACAGGUGAAAAAAGAAGGAAAAAACCGAGUGAAAAACCGGCUCUUUCCCUUUAACUUGGUCACGCGCUACUUAACACGAUUGUGCCAAUGUCUCAUGCCUAGUGAGCUACACUGCGUGCACGAGAUCUUGGAAUCGAUCCCCGCUUGCUUUCUUUUUCUCUACUAUUUUUUUUAAGUAUGCGAAAAUGGGCCGGCCGCAAAUAUAGACACUUCAGGACAUGUCGUUGCCGGCCUUUGCGCCCAUGUCGUUGCCGGCCUUUCUUGAGUGCAGGGGGUGGGGGAGGGAUUGCAUUCAUCAAACAUGGUUAUGUCGUGCUUUCACUUUUCGUAAGAUUUAACAAUCCUAUGUACCAUGCUUGCUAGGGUGGGACUCAACUGCCGUUCUAUGAUGUGCAUGCCAUAGGCAACCCGCAACCCAUUUUGUUUGUGUCCACUCCGUUGAUGAUGUAAUUUGGCUAGUUAGUAUGGGCCAAAUUAAUUUUAUCAUUAAUCCAACUAAUCAGUUGAUGCAUAGCUUUAAUAUUGUAGUUAUCUACAUAAGGCUGACCAGAUUUCAGGGAUGCAUUGAACUAGCAUACUGCUGCCAUGGACAUCUCUUAACCAACCUCGUAUGCUAAGCUGAAGUAUGGAGUUUGCAUGGACUAGAUGGAGAAGUGUGCUUAGUACAUGAUGGUUACUAUUACAUAUGAUUUGCAACGUUGUGGGAGUAUAUUUUUUUUUGAAGGCUCAAGGUAUUUGUACGAGUAUGCUUAGAACUUGCCUACUAUAUUAUCUGAUGAUAGCGACGUGGCCGGAAUAUUUUACUAUUUUCCUUGUAGGCCCAGGAGUAUUUGUACGUAACAUGUUAAUUUGGGCCCCUAGUGCAAGUUGUAAACGAUCGAAAUAGAGCAUGUCCUAGUCGGUUUUGGCUUCAGAGUUUUAGUCUUAUACGCCAAGUCCAGCAUGCCGUAUAUAUGUAAGGCUAUGGCCGAUUGGAAAACAAAAGUAAUCGAUCUAUCAAUACAAACUAUUUUUUCACGUACGUCUAUUUUCUGUCGCUACUUCCUGCCGAGCCCUAGCAGCCCUAGGGUUUGGCGAUUUUUGCCGUUUUGCGCUGGAAAGCGGCCGGUUCUCCUCCACGAAAGCGAGAAAAUCUUUGUUGUUUUGCGCUGAAAAGUGGCCGGUUCUCCUCCACGAAAGCGAGAGAAUCUUUGUUGUUUUGCUCGUAAAGCAAUCGUUCAUCGUCACGAAAGCACGCCAAAUAUCUUGGUGUUGCGCGGCGAUUUCGCGUGCCAACACAAUUGGCGACUCCGCUGGGGACGAGAAGAAGAAGAGAUAUACGAUGAGUACCGAGUCCAAGAACGGGAGCGACAUCGACCCGGAGAACGUCAUCGCUGUCAUACUCGACGAUCUGUCGGAAGAUGUUCGGCGCGAGCUUGAAGAGGAGGUUGAGAAAGAAAAGGUUGAGAGGUUGAAGCUGAAGUUGGCUGGAUACGCGAAGACGAGGAACGACGUCGUCAAAAAAGGUAGUUCCGAGCCCUUCCGAUGCUCAGGUAAAAAACACAACCGAAGAAAUUGCUUAUCUAAUUGAUGUGUCGGUAGCUAGUAAAUAUGGUUCUGAUAUGGAAAAUACGACACGUACAAUUACUCAAGCAGUAGCUAAUAGACUUGAAGAAUUUAAGGUACAGUUUAAUACAGAUCUUGAAAAUUGUCUACCUGGUCAUGUACGCUCAUUAGUGCUGCAAGUUAAUGAUGAGUAUGCUGGAAAAAGACCGAUGCCACCAGAUAGUUGCAGAUUUAACAAUUUGCCAAGUAAUAUACAUACACCUAGUGCAUUGGCUAAUACUAUGCAGCCUCACGUCCCUUUAAACAAUAAUCUGGAUGGCCGGGACUAUGUUGGUAGUUCGGCUAAUAAUUUUGUUGCUAGUACUACUGCUCCUAUUGUUUUGACUUCGGUUCCAGAAAAUCACAAUAGCAAUAACCGAAGUUUUGGGUUUAAUUCUAAUAUGCAGCAGCCUAGUUAUCGGACAGUGGCAUAUAGUACGCCACCACUGCCGCCUGUCGGUAUCGGGGUUCUGUAUGGGCCGGUUCAUGAUUCAUAUUUUAGUGGGUCUCCGUUGCAAACUUCGCAUGCUCCAAUUUCUUUGCCGGAAUUUCCACCACGUGCUGGUGUUCCAUCUGCUCCACAAGCCAGUUCUCUACAGCCCAAUAAUAAUUUUAAGGAUCAGCUUGCUAACAUACUUAGAGAAUUUGGUUUAGAACCUAAGGGUAGAGCACGUGCAUAUCAAAAACCAUACCCUGAUUAUUUUGACUCGACACCAUAUCCUCAUGGUUUUAGAAUUCCAGAUUUUGUUAAAUUUACGGGGAAGAUGGUAGAUCUACUUUUGAGCACGUGGGACAAUUUUUAGCACAAUGCAGCGAGGUCGGCACAUCAGGUAUUUUUAGAUUAAAAUUGUUUCCAUUAUCUUUAUCUGGUACUGCAUUUACUUGGUUUACAUCGCUUGCUCCUAAUUCUAUUUCAACAUGGGCACAAUUGGAGCAAAAAUUUCAUGAGUAUUUUUAUAGCGGUAAAAUAGAAGUUCGACUUUCAGAUUUAACUAUGGUUAGGCAAAAAUAUAAUGAGCAUGUUCAUGAUUAUAUUAGAAGGUUUAGAGAUGUCAAAAACCGAUGUUUCAGCUUAGACCAUGGCCGAAAAGGAUUUAGCCGAUCUUGCCUUUUCGGGUCUACUUGCUCAUAUUAAGGAUAAACUAGAAGGGCAAGAAUUUUUAGAUGUUAAUCAAGUUUUGCAGAAGGCUUUGGCGCAAGAAAACCGGACUAAGGAAAUUAAAUAAUAUAGUAGGUUUAAAGAUAAUAGAAAUAAAGACCAUGUAGUUAAUGCCUUAGAUUAUGAUAGUGAUUCGGCUAGUGAGGAUGAUGUUAAUAUAUGUGUAGCCGAAUGGGUUCAAGCGCCAAAGUCAAAACCUUUUGCAUGUUCUGCUUUAAAACCUGCACCUGCUAGAAGAGACGAAAUUAAAUAUACUUUUGAUGUAAGCAAGUGUGAUAGAAUUUUUGAUAUGUUACUGCAAAAUAAAUUAAUUAAAGUGAGGGAGGGUCAUGUAAUUCCACCUCCAGAAGAAUUGGGUAGAAGAGCUUAUUGUAAGUGGCACAAUUCUUUUUCUCAUGCUACUAAUGAUUGUAACGUGUUUCGUCGAUAGGUGCAAUCGGCCAUCAAUGAAGGACGAUUGACGUUUACUGAAGGUUCUAAGAUGAAACUCGACAGCGACCCUUUUCCUAUCAAUGUGGUCGAGCUUGAGAAUAUAAAAAAUGCUUAUUCGGUCGGAUCAGACCGAAUCUGCAAGAGAGAAAAACGUUGUUGAUAACAGUGCUCCUCCAAUGAUGAUCAAACCAAAAAAUCCAGAAAUAGGAGUGUGGAAAGUCAACGGAGGGAGGAGACAAGCUCCAAGGCCAAAGCCGACAGUUAGCAUGUUGUUGGAAAAAUAUACCUCACACAAGACCAACAAUGUGUUUAACCGGCUCGGAGGUAAUAAGCGUCGUAGAUCUCCUUCUGGACAUGGCGUUCAUGAGCAAUGGCAAGGAGAUUGGUAUGACCAGCAACCAUAUUUUGCAAUGGAGCCGACAUAUUGGGGUUGUGCGCCUCCGAUGUAUCCACAGUUUCCUCCAUGGGGAUUUAAUCCUUGGGUGCCAUAUCCUACAGGACCAGCAGGUUAUUUUCAGCUGGGAUGGAUUCCGCCGAGGCCUAUGUUUCGACCAAACAUGCAUGAGAAAAGGGCUCGGUUCAAUGAGGAGGCUAGAUCACAUGGUGCUAUUGAGAUUCGAGGAGGUCGAUCACCGGUACGCAGUGCAGAACGCAACAACUAUAAGGGCGACCACAAGCGCGUAUGGAUGCCGGUGAAACAUGUCGAUCCUAAACCCGGAAAAAGUACAGAUGAUUUAGAUGCUGCUCAUGGUCUGAAAAUAGUGGAACACCAGUCAGGUGAAGGUGUUGUUAAUUGUACAGAAACAAGCGGCGUCUCAAAAGAAGCUCUCGGUAUAGAGAAGAAAAGUGACGGCGUGAAGUUGCAGCAAGCUGGUCAAUCUAAUCAAUUUGGAGAGAAAGCUAAUUAUGUGCAUAACCUGCAUGCACGUUCAGAAAAGGAAUGUGUUGUAUCCUCACGUACUAGUCAACAGACUAAAUCGGCAAGUUCGUAUGCUGAUUUAGUUAUGAGAAAUUGUGGCCCAGGUACGUCCAAGAGUUUGCCUCCAACGAGUUUCAAGUAUAACAGCAGCACACAUAUACGUUGGGAUUCAAAUAAUGUACGCGGCCAGGAUUUUAAUGCUAGUAAAGUAUACAAUCAGCAAGGAGGUUUUUCAGCCAAAGAUAAAGUAUUUGUUCCAAUAACAACAAUAUGUCAGUACAGGCCAAAGGAUCCGGGGGGGGGAGGGCAGCAAAAUUAAGUCAGUCGCGCCAGGGACUAAACAAGCACCUCAGUGCUGCCCGAAUGGACUUACUCACACUCUGAAACGUCGUGUACAACGACUGCGAACAUUGGAAAUAAAGGAAGAGAUAGCUGAAAAGAAGCGCGAUAGAUGGUUCAAUCAAGAUAAACCAAUGGUGUCUACAAAGACUUGGAAGGAGAAGGGCAUCGCGGCGGAGGUAAAUAAAAAUACAGAUGACACAAUGUUGGGGAACGAAGUAAUUUCAAAAAAAUUCCUACGCACACGCAAGAUCAUGGUGAUGCAUAGCAACGAGAGGGGAGAGUGUUGUCUAUGUACCCUCGUAGACCGGAAGCGGAAGCCUUAGCACAAUGCGGUUGAUGUAGUCGUACGUCUUCACGACCCGACCGAUCAAGCACCAAAACUACGGCACCUCCGAGUUUUAGCACACGUUUAGCUCGAUGACGAUCUCCGAACUCCGAUCCAGCAAAGUGUCGGGGGUGAGUUCCGUCAGCACGACCGCGUGGUGACGAUCUUGAUGUUUUACCGUCGCAGGGCUUCGCCUAAGCACCGCUACAAUAUUAUCGAGGACUAUGAUGGAGGGGGGCACCGCACACGGCUAAGAGAUCAAUGAUCAAUUGUUGUGUCUAUGGGAUGCCCCCUGCCCCUGUAUAUAAAGGAGUGGAGGAGGGGGCCGGCCAAGGAGGGUGGCGCGCCCUAAGGGGGAGUCCAACUCCCACAGGGAGUAGGACUCCCCUUUUUCCUAUUAGGAGUAGGAGAGGGAAGGAAGAGGAAGGAGGGAGGAAGGAAAGGGGGGCCCGACCCCCUUCCCAAUUUGGAUUGGGCUUGGGGGGGCGGCGCGCCCCCUCCCUUGCUCCUUUCCCCUCCUUUCCACUAAGGCCCAAUAAGGCCCAUAUACCUCCCGGGGGGUUCCGAUAACCUCCCGGUGAUCUGGUAUUGUCCCAAUCUCACCCGGAACCUUUCCGGUGUCCAAAUAUAGUCGUCCAAUAUAUCGAUCUUUAUGUCUCGACCAUUUCGAGACUCCUCGUCAAGUCCGUGAUCACAUCCAGGACUCCGAACAACCUUCGAUACAUCAAAAUAUAUAAACUCAUAAUGAAACUGUCAUCGUAACGUUAAGCGUGCGGACCCUACGGGUUCGAGAACAAUGUAGACAUGACCGAGACAUGUCUGCGGUCAGUAACCAAUAGCUGAACCUGGGUGCUCAUAUUGGCUCCAACAUAUUCUACGAAGAUCUUUAUCGGUCAGACCGCAUACCAACAUACGUUUGUUCCCUUUGUCAUCGGUAUGUUACUUGCCCGAGAUUCGAUCGUCGGUAUCUCAAUACCUAGUUCAAUCUCGUUACUGGCAAGUCUCUUUACUCGUUCUGUAAUACAUCAUCUUGCAACUAACUUAUUAGUUGCAUUGUUUGCAAGGCUUAAGUGAUGUGCAUUACCGAGAGGGCCCAGAGAUACCUCUCUGACAAUCGGAGUGACAAAUCCUAAUCUCGAAAUACGCCAACCCAACAUGUACCUUUUGAGACACCUGUAGAGCACCUUUAUAAUCACCCAGUUACGUUGUGAUGUUUGGUAGCGCACAAAGUGUUCCUCAGGUAAACGGGAGUUGCAUAAUCUCAUAGUCAUAGGAACAUAUAUAAGUCAUGAAGAAAGCAAUAGCAACAUACUAAACGACCGGGUGCUAAGCUAAUGGAAUGGGUCACGUCAAUCACAUCAUUCUCCUAAUGAUGUGAUCCCGUUAAUCAAAUGACAACUCAUGUCUAUGGUUAGGAAACAUAACCAUCUUAGAUUAACGAGCUAGUCAAGUAGAGGCAUACUAGUGACACUCUGUUUGUCUAUGUAUUCACACAUGUAUUAUGUUUCCGGUUAAUACAAUUCUAACAUGAAUAAUAAACAUUUAUCAUGAUAUAAGGAAAUAAAUAAUAACUUUAUUAUUGUCUCUAGGGCAUAUUUCCUUCAGUCUCCCACUUGCACUAGAGUCAAUAAUCUAGAUUACACAGGAAUGAUUCUAACACCCAUGGAGUCUUGGUGCUGAUCAUGUUUUGCUCGUGGAAGAGGCUUAGUCAAUGGGUCUGCUACAUUUAGAUCCGUAUGUAUCUUGCAAAUCUCUAUGUCUCCCACCUGGACUAGAUCCCGGAUGGAAUUGAAGCGUCUCUUGAUGUGCUUGGUUCUCUUGUGAAAUCUGGAUUCCUUUGCCAAGGCAAUUGCACCAGUAUUGUCACAAAAGAUUUUCAUUGGACCCGAUGCACUAGGUAUGACACCUAGAUCGGAUAUAAAGUCCUUCAUCCAGACUCCUUCAUUUGCUGCUUCCGAAGCAGCUAUGUACUCUGCUUCACAUGUAGAUCCCGCCACGACGCUUUAUUUAGAACUGCACCAACUGACAGCUCCACCAUUUAAUAUAAAUACGUACAUGUAGAUCCCGCCACGACGCUUUGUUUAGAACUGCACCAACUGACAGCUCCACCAUUUAAUAUAAAUACGUAUCUGGUUUGCGAUUUAGAAUCGUCCGGAUCAGUGUCAAAGCUUGCAUCAACGUAACCAUUUAUGAUGAGCUCUUUGUCACCUCCAUAUACGUGAAACAUAUCCUUAGUCAUUUUCAGGUAUUUCAGGAUGUUCUUGACCGCUUUCCAGUGAUCCACUCCUGGAUUACUUUGGUACCUCCCUGCUAAACUGAUAGCAAGGCACACAUCAGGUCUGGUACACAACAUUGCAUACAUGAUAGAGCCUAUGGCUGAAGCAUAGGGAACAUCUUUCAUUUUCUCUCUAUCUUCUGCAGUGGUCGGGCAUUGAGUCUUACUCAACUUCACACCUUGUAACACAGGCAAGAAUCCUUUCUUUGCUUGAUCCAUUUUGAACUUCUUCAAAACUUUGUCAAGGUAUGUGCUUUGUGAAAGUCCAAUUAAGCGUCUUGAUCUAUCUCUAUAGAUCUUAAUGCCCAAUAUGUAAGCAGCUUCACCGAGGUCUUUCAUUGAAAAACUCUUAUUCAAGUAUCCCUUUAUGCUAUCCAGAAAUUCUAUAUCAUUUCCGAUUAGCAAUAUGUCAUCCACAUAUAAUAUCAGAAAUGCUACAGAGCUCCCACUCACUUUCUUGUAAAUACAGACUUCUCCAAAAGUAUGUAUAAAACCAAAUGCUUUGGUCACACUAUCAAAACGUUUAUUCCAACUCCGAGAUGCUUGCACCAGUACAUAAAUGGAUGGCUGGAGUUUGCACACUUUGUUAGCUCCCUUUGGAUCGACAAAACCUUCCGGUUGCAUCAUAUAUAACUCUUCUUCCAGAAAUCCAUUCAGGAGUGCAGUUUUGACAUCCAUCUGCCAAAUUUCAUAAUCAUAAAAUGCGGCAAUUGCUAACAUGAUUCGGACAGACUUAAGCAUCGCUAAGGGUGAGAAGGUCUCAUCGUAGUCAAUCCCUUGAACUUGUCGAAAACCUUUUGCGACAAGUUGAGCUUUGUAGACAGUAACAUUACCGUCAGCGUCAGUCUUCUUCUUGAAGAUCCAUUUAUUCUCAAUUGCUUGCCAAUCAUUGGGCAAGUCAACCAAAGUCCACACUUUGUUCUCAUACAUGGAUCCCAUCUCAGAUUUCAUGGCUUCAAGCCAUUUUGCGGAAUCUGGGCUCACCAUCACUUCUUCAUAGUUCGUAGGUUCACCAUGAUCUAGUAGCAUGACUUCCAGAACAGGAUUACCGUACCACUCUAGUGCGGAUCUUACUCUGGUUGAUCUACGAGGUUCAGUAGUAACUUGUUCUGAAGUUUCAUGAUCAUCAUCAUUAGCUUCCUCACUAAUUGGUGUAGGUGUCACAGAAACCGUUUUCUGUGAUGUGCUACUGUCCAAUAAGGGAGCAGGUACAGUUACCUCAUCAAGUUCUACUUUCCUCCCACUCACUUCUUUCGAGAGAAACUUCUUCUCUAGAAACGAUCCAUUCUUAGCAACAAAAGUCUUGCCUUCGGAUCUGUGAUAGAAGGUGUACCCAACAGUCUCCUUCGGGUAUCCUAUGAAGACACAUUUCUCCGAUUUGGGUUCGAGCUUAUCAGGUUGAAGCUUUUUCACAUAAGCAUCGCAGCCCCAAACUUUCAGAAACGACAACUUUGGUUUCUUGCCAAACCAUAGUUCAUAAGGCGUCGUCUCAACGUAUUUUGAUGGUGCCCUAUUUAACGUGAAUGCGGCCGUCUCUAAAGCAUAACCCCAAAACGAUAGCGGUAAAUCUGUAAGAGACAUCAUAGAUCGCACCAUAUCAAGUAAAGUACGAUUACGACGUUCGGACACACCAUUACGCUGUGGUGUUCCGGGUGGCGUGAAUUGCGAAACUAUUUCGCGUUUUUUCAAAUAUAAACCAAACUCGUAACUCAAAUAUUCUCCUCCACGAUCAGAUCGCAGAAGCUUUAUUUUCUUGUUACGAUGAUUUUCAACUUCACUCUGAAAUUCUUUGAACUUUUCAAAUGUUUCAGACUUAUGUUUCAUUAAGUUGAUAUACCCAUAUCUGCUUAAAUCAUCUGUGAAGGUGAGAAAAUAACGAUAUCCGCCACGAGCUUCAACAUUCAUUGGACCACAUACAUCUGUAUGUAUGAUUUCUAACAAAUCUGUUGCUCUCUCCAUAGUACCGGAGAACGGCGUUUUAGUCAUCUUGCCCAUGAGGCACGGUUCACAAGUACCAAGUGAUUCAUAAUCAAGUGGUUUCAAAAGUCCAUCAGUAUGGAGUUUCUUCAUGCGCUUUACACCGAUAUGACCUAAACGGCAGUGCCACAAAUAAGUUACACUAUCAUUAUUAACUCUGCAUCUUCUGGCUUCAACAUUAUGAAUAUGUGUAUCACUACUAUCGAGAUUCAUCAAGAAUAGACCACUCUUCAAGGAUGCAUGACCAUAAAAGAUAUUACUCAUAUAAAUAGAACAACCAUUAUUCUCUGAUUUAAAUGAAUAACCGUCUCGCAUCAAACAAGAUCCAGAUAUAAUGCUCAUGCUCAACGCUGGCACCAAAUAACAAUUAUUUAGGUCUAAUACUAAUCCCGAUGGUAGAUGUAGAGGUAGCGUGCCGACCGCGAUCACAUCGACUUUGGAACCAUUUCCCACGCGCAUCGUCACCUCGUCCUUGGCCAGUGUUCGCUUAAUCCGUAGUCCCUGUUUCGAGUUGCAAAUAUUAGCAACAGAACCAGUAUCAAAUACCCGGAUGCUACUACAAGCUCUAGUAAGGUACACAUCAAUAACAUGUAUAUCACAUAUACAUUUGUUCACCUUGCCAUCCUUCUUAUCUGCCAAAUACUUGGGGCAAUUCCGCUUCUAGUGACCAGUCUGCUUGCAGUAGAAGCACUCAGUUUCAGGCUUAGGUCCAGACUUGGGUUUCUUCUCCUGAGCAGCAACUUGCUUGCUGUUCUUCUUCAAGUUCCCCUUCUUCUUCCCCUUUCCCUUUUUCUUGAAACUAGUGGUCUUGUUGACCAUCAACACUUGAUGCUCCUUAUUGAUUUCUACCUCCACAGGUUUUAGCAUUGCGAAGAGCUCGGGAAUUGUCUUAUUCAUCCCUUGCAUAUUAUAGUUCAUCACGAAGCUCUUGUAGCUAGGUGGAAGUGAUUGGAGAAUUCUGUCAAUGACGCAAUCAUCCAGAAGAUUAACUCCCAGUUGAAUUAAGUGAUUAUUAUACCCAGACAUUUUGAGUAUAUGCUCACUGACAGAACUGUUCUCCUCCAUCUUGCAGCUAUAGAACUUAUUGAAGACUUCAUAUCUCUCAAUCCGGGCAUUUGCUUGAAAUAUUAACUUCAACUCCUGGAACAUCUCAUAUGCUCCAUGACGUUCAAAACGUCGUUGAAGUCCCGAUUCUAAGCCAUAAAGCAUGGCACACUGAACUAUCGAGUAGUCAUCAGCUUUGCUCUGCCAGAUGUUCAUAACAUCUGGUGUUGCUCCAACAGCAGGCCUGGCGCCCAGCGGUGCUUCCAGGACGUAAUUCUUCUGUGCAGCAAUGAGGAUAAUCCUCAAGUUACGGACCCAGUCCGUAUAAUUGCUAUCAUCAUCUUUCAACUUUGCUUUCUCAAGGAACGCAUUAAAAUUCAACGGAACAACAGCACGGGCCAUCUAUCUACAAUCAAACAUAAACAAGCAAGAUACUAUCAGGUACUAAGUUCAUGAUAAAUUUAAGUUCAAUUAAUCAUAUUACUUAAGAACUCCCACUUAGAAAGACAUCCCUCUAAUCUUCUAAGUGAUCACGUGAUCCAAAUCAACUAAACCAUAACCGAUCAUCAUGUGAAAUGGAGUAGUUUUCAAUGGUGAACAUCACUAUGUUGAUCAUAUCUACUAUAUGAUUCACGCUUGACCUUUCGGUCUCAGUGUUCUGAAGCCAUAUCUGCAUAUGCUAGGCUCGUCAAGUUUAACCUGAGUAUUCUGUGUGUGCAAAAACUGGCUUGCACCCAUUGUAGAUGGAUGUAGAGCUUAUCACACCCGAUCAUCACGUGGUGUCUGGGCACGACGAACUUUGGCAACGGUGCAUACUCAGGGAGAACACUUUUAUCUUGAAAUUUAGUGAGAGAUCAUCUUAUAAUGCUAUCGUCAAUCAAAGCAAGAUAAGAUGCAUAAAAGAUAAACAUCACAUGCAAUCAAUAUAAGUGAUAUGAUUUGGCCAUCAUCAUCUUGUGCUUAUGAUCUCCAUCUCCGAAGCAUCGUCAUGAUCACCAUCGUCACCGGCGCGACACCUUGAUCUCCAUGAUAGCAUCAUUGUCGUCUCGCCAAUCUUAUGCUUCCACGAUUAUCGCUACCGCUUAGUGAUAAAGUAAAGCAUUACAGCGCGAUUGCAUUGCAUACAAUAAAGUGACAACCAUAUGGCUCCUGUCAGUUGCCGAUAACUCGGUUACAAAACAUGAUCAUCUCAUACAAUAAAAUUUAGCAUCAUGUCUUGACCAUAUCACAUCACAACAUGCCCUGCAAAAACAAGUUAUACGUCCUCUACUUUGUUGUUGCAAGUUUUACGUGGCUGCUACGGGCUUAGCAAGAACCGUUCUUACCUACGCAUCAAAACCACAACGAUAGUUUGUCAAGUUGGUGCUGUUUUAACCUUCGCAAGGACCGGGCGUAGCCACACUUGGUUCAAAUAAAGUUGGAGAAACUGACACCCGCCAGCCACCUGUGUGCAAAGCACGUCGGUAGAACCAGUCUCGCGUAAGCGUACGCGUAAUUCGGUCCGGGGCGCUUCAUCCAACAAUACCGCCGAACCAAAGUAUGACAUGCUGGUAAGCAGUAUGACUUAUAUCGCCCACAACUCACUUGUGUUCUACUCAUGCAUAACAUCAACGCAUAAAACUUAGGCUCUAAUGCCACUGUUGGGGAACGUAGUAAUUUAAAAAAAUUUCCUACGCACACGCAAGAUCAUGGUGAUGCAUAGCAACGAGAGGGGAGAGUGUUGUCUACGUACCCACAUAGACCGGAAGCGGAAGCGUUAGCACAACGCGGUUGAUGUAGUCGUACGUCUUAACGACCCGGCCGAUCAAGCACCGAAACUACGGCACCUCCGAGUUUUAGCACACGUUCAUCUCGAUGACGAUCCUCAGACUCCGAUCCAGCAAAGUGUCGGGGAUGAGUUUCGUCAGCACGACAGCGUGGUGACGAUCUUGAUGUUUUACCGUCGCAGGGCUUCGCCUAAGCACCGCUACAAUAUUAUCGAGGACUAUGGUGGAGGGGGGCACCGCACACGGCUAAGAGAUCAAUGAUCAAUUGUUGUGUCUAUGGGGUGCCCCCCUGCCCCCGUAUAUAAAGGAGUGGAGGAGGGGGCCGGCCAAGGAGGGUGGCGCGCCCUAAGGGGGAGUCCAACUCCCACAGGGAGUAGGACUCCCCUUUUUCCUAUUAGGAGUAGGAGAGGGAAGGAAGAGGGAGGGAGGAAGGAAAGGGGGGCCCAGCCCCCUUCCCAAUUUGGAUUGGGCUUGGGGGGGGGGGGGCAGCGCGCCCCCUCCCUUGCUCCUUUCCCCUCCUUUCCACUAAGGCCCAAUAUGGCCCAUAUACCUCCCGGGGGGUUCAGAUAACCUCCCGGUGAUCCGGUAUUGUCCCAAUCUCACCCGGAACCUUUCCGGUGUCCAAAUAUAGUCGUCCAAUAUAUCGAUCUUUAUGUCUCGACCAUUUUGAGACUCCUCGUCAAGUCCGUGAUCACAUCCGGACUCCGAACAACCUUUGGUACAUCAAAAUAUAUAAACUCAUAAUGAAACUGUCAUCGUAACGUUAAGCGUGCGGACCCUACGGGUUCGAGAACAAUGUAGACAUGACUGAGACAUGUCUCCAGUCAAUAACCAAUAGCGGAACCUGGAUGCUCAUAUUGGCUCCUACAUAUUCUACGAAGAUCUUUAUCGGUCAGACCGCAUAACAACAUACGUUUGUUCCCUUUGUCAUCGGUAUGUUACUUGCCCGAGAUUCGAUCGUCGGUAUCUCAAUACCUAGUUCAAUCUCGUUACCGGCAAGUCUCUUUACUCGUUCUGUAAUACAUCAUCUUGCAACUUACUUAUUAGCUGCAUUGCUUGCAAGGCUUAAGUGAUGUGUAUUACCGAGAGGGCCCAGAGAUACCUCUCCGACAAUCGGAGUGACGAAUCCUAAUCUCGAAAUACGCCAACCCAACAUGUACCUUUGGAGGCACCUGUAGAGCACCUUUGUAAUCACCCAGUUACCUUGUGAUGUUUGGUAGCACACAAAGUGUUCCUCCGAUAAACGGAAGUUGCAUAAUCUCAUAGUCAUAGGAACAUGUAUAAGUCAUGAAGAAAGCAAUAACAACAUACUAAACGAUCGGGUGCUAAACUAAUGGAAUGGGUCAUGUCAAUCACAUCAUUCUCCUAAUGAUGUGAUCCCGUUGAUCAAAUGACAACUCAUGUCUAUGGUUAGGAAACAUAACCAUCUUCGAUUAACGAGCUAGUCAAGUAGAGGCAUACUAGUGACAUUCUGUUUGUCUAUGUAUUCACACAUGUAUUAUGUUUCCGGUUAAUACAAUUCUAGCAUGAAUAAUAAACAUUUAUCAUGAUAUAAGGAAAUAAAUAAUAACUUUAUUAUUGCCUCUAGGGCAUAUUUAUUUCACACAAUUAUUGCAGAAAAUUCAGAGAAUGAUAUAGAUGUACCAAGUGAUAUGGAUGUUAAUAUGGUGUUCGCGUUGCCUGCUGAGUUUCGCGCGCCCGAGGCUGAAAUUGCUGAGCUUGUUCUUGAUCCAAAGAAUGCUACAUUUCAUAAACCGGAGAAGCAUGGACAGCACCUGAAGCCAUUAUUUAUCAGAGGUCAUAUUGAUGGUAAGCCUAUUGGCCGCAUGCUUGUUGAUGGCGGUGCAGGUGUUAAUAUUAUGCCCUUUUCGGUAUUUUCAAAACUGAACCGAAAAGAGAGCGAGUUAAUGAAGACCAGUAUGGGACUUAGUGCGUUCUCAGGGGAAUUUUCCGAGGCUAAGAGUGUUAUUUCUAUGGAGCUCAUAGUCGGAAGCAAAACAUUGCCGACUGCGUUUUUUGUUGUCGAUGUCAAAGGCCGGUAUAAUAUGCUGUUAGGACGCGACUGGAUUCAUGCAAAUUGUUGCAUCCCUUCUACCUUACAUCAGUGCUUAAUUCAGUGGGUUAAUGAUGAUGUGGAGGUGAUUGAGGCCGAUAAUUCUUCAUGCAUUGCUUUGACGGACGCACCGGUUGAUUAGCAACACGGUGAGAUGCGAUGUUUGACCGGUAGGGAUUUAUCGGACUAUGGUAGAGAUGGUUUUAUACCUAUACAUGCACAGCCGGCUAACGUAGGUCGACUUAAUGAUUUAGCUAUAUAAAUGAUGAAUAAAGACGAUCGUAUUAGGUGGCUGCAAAGACGCACGGAGGAGUAUCGUUCCAGAAAGAACGAUAUGCAUGAAACUAUUGAAGAUUUUGAUAACAUGGAAAAGCUUGGACAGGGAUUCUCAUCGGCUGACCCACUUGAAGAAAUUGAUAUUGGUGAUGGAAGUAUUUCGAGACCUACAUUUAUCAGAGCUAGCUUGAAAGCCGAUCAGAAAAGUAAGGUAUGUUUAUUACUUAAAGAAUUCGUUGAUUGCUUUGCUUGGAAUUAUACUGAGAUGUCCGGUUUAAGUAGAGAUUUAGUAGAGCAUAGAUUACCUAUUAAAUCUGGUUUUAGGCCGCAUAAACAACCUCGUAGAAGUUUCAAUCCUAAUUUAUAUGACCGCAUCAAAGAAGAAGUUGAUCGGUUGUUAAAAGCUAAGUUUAUUCGGCCGUGUAGAUAUGCAGAUUGGGUUUCUAAUAUUGUGCCCGUGGAAAAGAAAAAUACUGGUAAUAUUAGAAUCUAUGUUGAUUUUAGAGAUUUGAAUAAGGCUACUCCGAAAGAUGAAUAUCCUAUGCCUAUAGCCGACAUGCUUAUUAAUGAUGCAUCAGGACAUAAGGUGAUUAGCUUUUUAGAUGGUAAUGCGUGUUAUAAUCAAAUAUUUAUGGCCAAACAAUAUAUGUCUAAGACUGCUUUUCAUUGCCCAGCUUUUGUUGGUUUAUUUGAGUGGGUCGUUAUGACAUUUGGGUUGAAAAAUGCCGACGCUACAUACCAACGAGCUAUGAAUUUAAUUUUUCAUGAUCUUCUAGGUAUUGUACUAGAAAUAUAUUGAUGGCAUAGUUGUUAAAUCGGAUGAGUUUGAUCAUCAUUUAGCCGAUUUAAGAUUAGCUUUUGAAAGGAUGCGCCGGUAUGGAUUAAAAAUGAACCCACUCAAAUGUGCUUUUGGCGUGUCGGCUGGCAAGUUUUUAGGCUUUAUAAUUCAUGAAAAUGGCAUAGAGAUUGACCCUAAGAAAGUGGAGGCAAUUAGAAAUUUGAAGGAACCCACAUGUAAAAGGUAUGUGCAAAAGUUGUUAGGAAAAAUUAAUUACUUGAUACGAUUCAUAUCUAACCUUGCAGGUAAAAUUGAAUCGUUUGUUCCUCUACUCCGGAUAAAGAAUGAAGCCGAAUUUACUUGGGGGGCAGAGCAACAAGAUGCUUUUAAUUAUAUAAAGUGAUGCUUGUCUAAUCCUCCAAUAUUGCGGGCGCCCAAGUCCGGUGCGCCGUUCAGGUUGUAUAUUGCUGCAGAAGAUAGGGUGAUCGGUGCGGUGUUGGCGCAAGAGGUCAGCGGGAAAAAAUACAUCAUUGCAUACUUAAGUCGUCGUUUGCUCGACGCCGAAAGUAGGUACAUGUUUAUUAAAAAGUUAUGCUUAUCUUUAUACUAUGCAUGUACCAAGUUUCGGCCUUAUCUUCUUUCUAGUACGUGUGUAGUAGCUUGCCAGGCUGACGUCAUUAAGUAUAUGUUGCAACGACCGAUUCUUAGUGAUAGGAUUGGAAAGUGGGCUUACGCGCUAAUAGAAUAUGAUUUAACAUAUGAAUCGUUGCAUGCUAUGAAGGGUUAGGUUAUCGCCGAUUUCAUUGUUGAUCAUAGGAUUAAAGAUGAUGAAAAUAUUAACUAUGUUAGUGUGUGUCCAUGGAAGCUUUAUUUUGAUGAAUCGGUUUGUAGGAACGAGCAAGGCAUCGGUAAUGUUUUAGUUUCACCUAAUAGUGUUGUUUAUGAUACAUCGGUCCGUCUGGAAUAUCCUUGCACUAAUAACCAAGCUGAGUAUGAAACUUUACUGUUUGGAUUACAAACUUUAGUUGAUAUGGGUGUAAAGGAUGUAUAUGCUUUUGGGGAUUCGCUUCUGAUAGUACAACAAAUUAAAGGCAAAUUUCAAUAUUUUGAUGGGUUAUUAAAUAGUUAUUUGGACCGAUGUUUAGACAUAAUUAAGUCUCUAGAUACAUUCACCAUCCAUCAUAUACCUAGAGAAGAUAAUUCUAGAGCUAAUUGUUUAGCACAGUAAGCAUCCGGUUAUCAUAUUAGUAAAGGAAUGUUUUUUAUAUUAAACAAGCCGAUGCAUGCUGAGUCUAUAAUGAUGGAUACUUUUCCACAUGGUGCACUUGGGCCUAGGACAGUUGAACAACUAGCUGUACAAUGUACUGCAGAUUCGGUGCAUGGGUCACAAACGACCGAAUUAGCAAAUAAUUUAGAACUAAGUGAUUGGAGAGUUCCUCUAGUUAAUCAUUUAAAGCAUCCAAGUCAAACAAGAGAUAGAAAAAUUCGGCGACAAGCUUUAAAGUAUACUUUGUUUAACGACGAGUUAUAUCGCCGAACAAUAGAUGAGUUAUUUUUAAAAUGCUUGGAUUCUGAUCAGUCUAGAAUAGCUAUGUGUGAAGUGUACGAAGGAAUAUGUGGAACACAUCAAUCGGCUCACAAAAUGCGAUGAUUAUUAAAAAGAGCAGGUUUUUAUUGGCCGACUUUGUUAGAGGAUUGUUUUCGGUACUAUAAAGGUUGUGAGGCAUGUCAAAAAUUUGGGAAUAUACAGUUAGCGCCCGCAGCUAUGUUAAAUCCUAUAAUUAGGCCGUGGCCAUUUAGAGGAUGGGGCUUAGAUUUUAUUGGUGAAAUACAUCCUUCGUCUUCUAAAAGACAUCACUUCGUCCUAGUAGCCACAGAUUAUUUUACUAAAUGGACAAAAGCAGUUCCUUUAAAAAACAUGACCCAUAAACAGGUUAUCAGUUUUGUUUUAGAGCAUAUUGUUCAUAGAUUCGGUAUUCCUCAAACUUUAACUACCGAUCAAGGUGCUUCUUUUAUGUCUCAUCAAUUUCGCGAAUUUGCUGAAUCUAUAGGAAUUAAAUUGUUAAAUCCAUCGCCUUAUUAUGCUCAAGCUAAUGAACAGGCUGAAUCUAGCAAUAAAACUUUAAUUAAGCUUAUAAAGAAGAAAAUUGAGGAGCAUCCCAAAAGAUGGCAUGAGGUACUUUCGGAAGCUUUAUGGGCUCAUCGGAUAUCUAAACAUGGAGCAACUCAAGUGGCACCGUACAACUUGGUAUAUGGUCAGGAGGCGAUGUUACUUGUAGAGGUUAAUUUACAAGCUCUUAGAGUGGCCAGACAAAAUGAUUUGUCGGCUGUAAAUUAUAAUGAAUUGAUGAUGGAUAGGAUAGAUGAAAUUUCAGAAAAGAGAUUAAGAGCCUUGCGAGAAAUUGAGAAGGAGAAAUUAAGAGUAGCCAAGGCUUAUAAUAAAAGGGUGAGAGAGAAAUCGUUUCAAAUAGGAGAUUUAGUGUGGAAAACGAUUUUACCUAUUGGAACUAAAGAUAGGAAAUUCGGCAAAUGGUCGCUGAGUUGGGAAGGCCCGUACAAAAUCAUAGAAAUUGUUCCUGGAAAUUCAUAUUUUGUACAAUCUUUGCAGGGAAAGAAGUUGUCCAAAGCUCUUAACGGGAAAUAUUUGAAAAAGUACUAUCCUAGCGUGUGGCAGGAGGCUUGAGCAUAUUUGGCCGAUAUAUCGUUCAAGAUAUCGCCCUAAGGAAAAUUGGCCGAUGUAUCUUUGGACAUCGCCCAGAGCAGUAACAUGGUCGGUGAAGUGAUCAAUUUCAUCCUACGGUAAUUGCUAUUGUAUUUUUGGUCAAUACAAUUAUACCAAAAACAGGAGGGCAUAUAUUGACGAUGUAAUUUGGCUAGUUAGUAUGGGCCUAAUUAAUUUUAUCAUUAAUCCAACUAAUCAUUUGAUGCAUAGCUUUAAUAUUGCAGUUAUCUACAUAAGGCUGACCAGAUUUCAGGGAUGCGCUGAACUAGUAUAGUGCUGCCAUGGACAUCUCUUAACCAACCUCGUAUGCUAAGUUGAAGUAUGAAGUUUGCAUGGACUAGAUGGAGAAGUGUGCUUAGUACAUGAUGGUUACUAUUGCAUAUGAUUUACGACGUUGCUGGAGUAUUUUAUUAUUUUCUUUGAAGGCUCAAGGUAUUUGUACGAGUAUGCUUAGAACUUGGCUACUAUAUUAUCUGGUGAUAGCGACGUGGCCGAAAUAUUUUACUAUUUUCCUUGUAGGCCCAAGAGUAUUUAUACGUAACAUAUUAAUUUGAGCCCGCUAGUGCAAGUUGUAAACGAUAUGUCCUCGUCGGUUUUGGCUUCAGAGUUUGUCUUAUACGCCAAAUCCAAUGUGCCGUAUAUAUGUAAGGCUAUGGCCAAUUGAAAAACAAAAACAAUCGAUCUAUCAAUACAAACUAUUUUUUCACGUACGUCUAUUUUCUGUCGCUACUUCCUGCCGAGCCCUAGCGUUUGGAGAUCUUUGCCGUUUUGCGCUGGAAAGCGGCUGGUUCUCCUUCACGAAAGCGAGGAAAUCUUUGUUGCUUUGCUCGUAAAGCAAUCGUUCGUCGUCACGAAAGCACGACAAAUAUCUUGGUAUUGCGCGGCGAUUUCGCGUGCCAACUCUUUGUGCAACCCAUUUUGCUUUCUCUUUUCUCUACUGAAUUUCUUCUAAGUAUGCGUGAAUGGGCUGGCCCGCAACUGUAGAUACUUCAGGAGAGACCGAAGGACGACUCACUCUAUAGCCUUUGCGUCCAUGUCGUUGCCGGCCUUUCUUGAGUGCAGGGGAUGGGGGAGGGAUUGCAUUCAUCAAGCAACCAAGUAGAAUUAAAAGGGACUGCAACAACCAAAGGCCAGCAUUAGCCGAAGACUCGGAUUGAUUGCCUAUACAAGUAUACCUCAAACCAAUGAUGUACAAAACCCUUGGGCCACCCCAACAUCUCAAAUACCUUCACCAUUUAUGCUACGUUUGCUAUGACGCUAACCUGUAAUCCUACGCUAACUCUUGAUACAGCUAACACUACCACCCUACUAGUUCCCAACUCUGGGGUACCCUAUUCCCACCUCUGCCUUGAAGGGAUAAAAUAGCAAGACAUGCACAUUCCCCUGAUAACAAGUCACUGAAGUCGGUCCAUUUCUACUCGAAACCAGGCAGCACACUCGCCCUUCCGUACAGG
rnacentral:lncRNA from 1 species